GGGGAAUUAACACCGCAUAAGACCACGCUCUCGCAUGGGGACGGGGUAAAAUAUUUAUAGGUUACAGAUGGGCAUGCGUGACAUUAGUUAGUUGGGGGGGUAACGGCCCACCAAGGCAACGAUGGAUAGGGGAACUGAGAGGUUUAUCCCCCACACUGGUACUGAGACACGGACCAGACUCCUACGGGAGGCAGCAGUGAGGAAUAUUGGUCAAUGGACGCAAGUCUGAACCAGCCACGUCGCGUGAAGGAAGACGGCCCUACGGGUUGUAAACUUCUUUUGUAAGGGAAUAAAGUGAGUCACGUGUGGCUUUUUGCAUGUACCUUACGAAUAAGGAUCGGCUAACUCCGUGCCAGCAGCCGCGGUAAUACGGAGGAUCCGAGCGUUAUCCGGAUUUAUUGGGUUUAAAGGGUGCUCAGGCGGGCCAUUAAGUCGGCGGUGAAAUUUUGCGGCUCAACCGUAAAAGUGCCUUCGAUACUGGUGGUCUUGAGUGUGGAUGAGGUAGGCGGAAUUUGUGGUGUAGCGGUGAAAUGCAUAGAUAUCACGAGGAACUCCGAUUGCUAAGGCAGCUUACUAAGCCAUAACUGACGCUCAAGCACGAAGGCGUGGGGAUCAAACAGGAUUAGAUACCCUGGUAGUCCACGCAGUAAACGAAGAUUACCGGCGGUUUGCGAUAUAUUGUAAGCGGCGGAGCGAAAGCGUUAAGUAAUCCCCCUGGGGAGUACGUUCGCAAGAAGAAAACUCAAAGGAAUUGACGGGGGCCCGCACAAGCGGAGGAACAUGUGGUUUAAUUCGAUGAUACGCGAGGAACCUUACCCGGGCUUGAAAUGCAGAUGACAGGCGGCGAGAACCGUUUUUCCUUCGGGACAUCUGUGUAGGUGCUGCAUGGUUGUCGUCAGCUCGUGCCGUGAGGUGUCGGCUUAAGUGCCAUAACGAGCGCAACCCUCAUCGUUAGUUGCCAUCAGGUCAAGCUGGGGACUCUAACGGGACUGCCAUCGUAAGAUGUGAGGAAGGUGGGGAUGACGUCAAAUCAGCACGGCCCUUACGUCCGGGGCGACACACGUGUUACAAUGGGUGGUACAAAGGGCAGCUACCGGGCGACCGGAUGCCAAUCUCUAAAACCACUCUCAGUUCGGAUCGGAGUCUGCAACUCGACUCCGUGAAGCUGGAUUCGCUAGUAAUCGCGCAUCAGCCACGGCGCGGUGAAUACGUUCCCGGGCCUUGUACACACCGCCCGUCAAG
rnacentral:rRNA from 1 species